GGAAGUAAAAGUCGUAACAAGAUUUCCGUAGGUGAACCUGCGGAAGGAUCAUUAUUGUAUAACCGAGGUGCGAGGGCUGUCGCUGACCCGAAAGGUCGUGCACGCCCGAGUGCCCUCACACACAUCCAUCUCACCCCUAUGUGCACCACCGCGUGGGUCCCCCUUUGGCUUGUUCGGAGGGGGGCUUACGUUUUCACACAAACUUUGUAUGCAGUGUAGAAUGUAUUUUUUGUUUUUGCGAUCACGCAAUCAAUACAACUUUCAACAACGGAUCUCUUGGUUCUG
rnacentral:misc_RNA from 1 species